AUGUCUUCUUCUUCUUCUACCCGGGUCUCUCAGCUGGGCGCCGCCGGCUUGUUGGCGGCGCUUCUGGCGGCCGUCUGCCUCCUCCACGCCGGCGGGGCAGCGGCGGCGGAGCUGUGCGUGGACUACUACGACUGCACGUGCCCGGACGCGUACAAGAUCGUGCAGGGAGUGCUGAUGGAGGCGCACCAGUCGGACCCUCGCAUCUUCGCCAGCCUGAUCCGCCUCCACUUCCACGACUGCUUCGUGCAGGGCUGCGACGGCUCGCUGCUGCUGGACACCUUCGACGGGAUGGAGUCGGAGAAGGACGCGCGGCCCAACAACGGGUCGGCGCGCGGCUUCGAGGUCGUCGACGCCGCCAAGGCCGCCCUCGAGGACGCCUGCCCCGGCGUCGUCUCCUGCGCCGACAUCCUCGCCAUCGCCGCCGAGAUCUCCGUCGAGCUGUCAGGAGGACCCGGGUGGAACGUGUUGCUGGGGAGGCUGGACAGCUUCACGUCCAGCAAAGCCGACGCCGAGAACCUACCAGGCCCCUUCGACGGCCUCGACGUGCUCAGAGCCAAGUUCCGGAACGCCACGCUCGAUGACACUACCGACCUCGUCGCCCUCUCAGGUGGCCACACUUUCGGCCGCGUGCAGUGUCAGUUCGUCACGGGCCGGCUGUACAACUUCAGCGGGACGAACCAGCCCGACCCGACCCUCGACGCGACAUACCGAGCCUUCCUGUCACAGAGAUGCCCGAGGAACGGCGACGGAACGUCCCUGAACGACCUCGACCCGACCACGCCCGACAACUUCGACAAGAACUACUUCACCAACCUCGAGGUGAACCGCGGCUUCCUUCAGUCCGACCAGGAGCUCAAGUCGGACCCCGGCGCGGCGGGGACGACGGCGCCGAUCGUCGAUCGGUUCGCAGGCAGCCAGGAGGCCUUCUUCAGUAGCUUCGUCACUUCUAUGAUCAAGAUGGGGAACAUUAGGCCCAUAACCGAUCCCUCCCAGGGAGAAGUCCGGAACCGCUGCGCGUUUGUCAAUUCAAAUUAG
rnacentral:rRNA from 1 species